CUGGGAGGGGCUGGGUUUGGC
rnacentral:miRNA from 1 species